rnacentral:rRNA from 1 species
AGAGUUUGAUCAUGGCUCAGAACGAACGCUGGCGGCGCGCCUAAUACAUGCAAGUCGAGCGAGAAGGUGUAGCAAUACACUUGUAAAGCGGCGAACGGGUGAGGAAUACAUGGGUAAUCUACCAUCGAGUGGGGAAUAACCAACCGAAAGGUUGGCUAAUACCGCGUACGCCUCCGAGUCUUCGGGUUCGGAGGGAAAGCUGCACUGUGAGUGUAGCGCUCUUUGAUGAGCUCAUGUCCUAUCAGCUUGUUGGUAGGGUAACGGCCUACCAAGGCUUUGACGGGUAGCUGGUCUGAGAGGACGAUCAGCCACACUGGCACUGCGACACGGGCCAGACUCCUACGGGAGGCAGCAGUAAGGAAUAUUGCGCAAUGGGCGAAAGCCUGACGCAGCGACGCCGCGUGGGGGAUGAAGGUCUUCGGAUUGUAAACCCCUUUCGGGAGGGAAGAUGGAGCGAGCAAUCGUUCGGACGGUACCUCCAGAAGCAGCCACGGCCAACUUCGUGCCAGCAGCCGCGGUAAUACGAAGGUGGCAAGCGUUGUUCGGAUUCACUGGGCGUACAGGGUGUGUAGGCGGUUUGGUAAGCCUUCUGUUAAAGCUUCGGGCCCAACCCGGAAAGCGCAGAGGGUACUGCCAGGCUAGAGGGUGGGAGAGGAGCGCGGAAUUCCCGGUGUAGCGGUGAAAUGCGUAGAGAUCGGGAGGAAGGCCGGUGGCGAAGGCGGCGCUCUGGAACAUACCUGACGCUGAGACACGAAAGCGUGGGGAGCAAACAGGAUUAGAUACCCUGGUAGUCCACGCCC